rnacentral:tRNA from 1 species
GGGUCGGUACCGAAGCGGUCAAACGGGGGAGACUGUAAAUCUCCUGGCUCACGCCUUCGAAGGUUCGAACCCUUCCCGGCCCACCA